rnacentral:rRNA from 1 species
AUUGAACGCUGGCGGCAGGCUUAACACAUGCUAGUCGAGCGGGGGAAGGUAGCUUGCUACCGGACCUAGCGGCGGACGGGUGAGUAAUGCUUAGGAAUCUGCCUAUUAGUGGGGGACAACAUCUCGAAAGGGAUGCUAAUACCGCAUACGUCCUACGGGAGAAAGCAGGGGAUCUUCGGACCUUGCGCUAAUAGAUGAGCCUAAGUCGGAUUAGCUAGUUGGUGGGGUAAAGGCCUACCAAGGCGACGAUCUGUAGCGGGUCUGAGAGGAUGAUCCGCCACACUGGGGCUGGAACACCGCCCGGACUCCUACGGGAGGCAGCAGUGGGGAAUAUUGGACAAUGGGGGGAACCCUGAUCCAGCCAUGCCGCGUGUGCGAAGAAGGCCUUAUGGUUGUAAAGCACUUUAAGCGAGGAGGAGGCUACUCUAGUUAAUACCUAGGGAUAGUGGACGUUACUCGCAGAAUAAGCACCGGCUAACUCUGUGCCAGCCGCCGCCGUAA